AAGUCGUAACAAGGUUUCCGUAGGUGAACCUGCGGAAGGAUCAUUAAAGAGACGUUGCCCUUCGGGGUAUACCUCCCACCCUUUGUUUAUUAUACCUUUGUUGCUUUGGCGGGCCCAUCCUCGGACCACCGGCUUCGGCUGGUCAGCGCCCGCCAGAGGACCUAAAACUCUGUUUGUUCAUAUUGUCUGAGUACUAUAUAAUAGUUAAAA
rnacentral:misc_RNA from 1 species